UAGGGAAUCUUCGGCAAUGGGGGCAACCCUGACCGAGCAACGCCGCGUGAGUGAAGAAGGUUUUCGGAUCGUAAAGCUCUGUUGUAAGAGAAGAACGUGUGUGAGAGUGGAAAGUUCACACAGUGACGGUAACUUACCAGAAAGGGACGGCUAACUACGUGCCAGCAGCCGCGGUAAUACGUAGGUCCCGAGCGUUGUCCGGAUUUAUUGGGCGUAAAGCGAGCGCAGGCGGUUUAAUAAGUCUGAAGUUAAAGGCAGUGGCUUAACCAAUGGUGGCUUUGGAAACUGUUAAACUUGAGUGCAGAAGGGGAGAGGGGAAUUCCAUGUGUAGCGGUGAAAUGCGUAGCUAUAUGGAGGAACACCGGUGGCGAAAGCGGCUCUCUGGUCUGUACCUGACGCUGAGGCUCGAAAGCGUGGGGAGCAAACAGG
rnacentral:rRNA from 1 species